UGAAGAAACAAGCUUUAAUAUCAAUGACUAUAAGAGGCCUUCCUUCAGGCAAUAGAGAAGCCCAUACAGGUUUGUCUGUCAACUAUUUUGAAGGUAGGACCAUUGAUGCCUUUGGAAGAUCAGCAGCUGUUGUGCCCUGUUCUUGACAACCUGAAUGAAUUCCCAGUUUUCUCACCCAUCUGCUGACGAUGAUGAUGAAGAUGUGAGGCUCACUGCUGCUGCACAGAACAGUUUGAAACCUGACUGGAUUUCAAGGCAGCUACCUGGUUUGGUAGCAGCCCGAGAAUGGCUCCAGGGAAAGUCCAUCAGAAGAGAGAAAGAGAAAAAGCUAGCUGGUCUGGAUGUGCAGAAGAAGCUUCUCUGACACAGUGGAGAGCAGCGCUGACCUAGACCUGCACCAGAAGGAUGUGGACCCAGCAGCACCAGCUCCCAGGACCUUCUGCCUUUCACUGCCAGAUUGUCAGUGCAGGGACAGCCAGCCUGUCGGACUGAGCAGCUUCCGGGUUCUCUGUCCCCAGUGUGCAUGUGGCCAUUGCUGGACCUAGUGCAUGUCACAGAAACUAACAUAUAAUAGCAAUAAUACCUUAAAAUAUUAUCUUUUCAUUUAUGUAGUAUCACUUUGUAUCAAAUAUAGUUAUAGUAAAAUAACAGAUACAUUUCUUAUUUUGUUCUAAAAAAGGCUGCAUAGUAUAGGAUUGGCUAUAAUAUAUAUCUAUUACAAAAUCAAUUACUAACAGUAUUUAACUCCCAGCCAACUAUCUUAGGGAGGGUGGGAGUCCUCCUAGUCUGUCUGACCUAGAUACUGGUCAGUUAUACACACAGGAGUGAAACUACACAUUCCUGCUAAGGAGAUCUGGUUACCCUGUUUCCUAUGCUAGGAAUGGGUACAUAACCACAUCUCUAGUUCAAGUAGUUCCAUGUUAGGGGCAAAUUCCACCAGGGAGCACCAAGAUUACAAGGUGAUAAGAAAGGGCCCAAGCAACUACACAGAGUGAAGACCAUGAAAUGCUGUGUCCGCAGCAUCAUGAUUCAUCUGGUGGAGGCUGAUGGAAAGGGAGAGUGGUGGCACCAGAUGAACUCUGGUGCAUCUUCUCUGGAGCAUCUUCAACCUGCAGCAAGGAAACACAUCUAUGGAAGGGUCUGAGGAAAGCUUGGGUCAGUUCUCCUGGGUGCCCUGUACCAGUCAUCACCACCCCACAGCCACCCUCACUGAGGGUCAUUCAGUUCCCUCCUCCAUCACCCCUGGGCUCUCCAUCCGGGAUCCCCUACUAUCUUCCUCUUUCUUUCCCAAGUCCCAGAGCCCCAGACCCUGCUGCAGACCUGGAGAUGAGAAUAAAGUGGUGGUGACUAGCUCUGUUUCCUGACUCAGGGCCUGAUGGGAGCAGUUGGAAGAGUAGGGGAGGACCUCUAUCCAACUUUCUUCUCCAAAAUUUCUCAGCCUCAGUGUAUCACACACAGGUGUGGAUGUGACUGUCCCUGCCCCACCUUGUCCAUCUGCACAGCUCAGAUGGGAGAGGUAGACCCCAUCAGCGUCUCAGUCCCUCCUCUCCAAUGGGGACAUUGCUCCAGGGGUACUAGAGGCUGCUGCUGCUUGAUUCAAUUCUAUUUUGUGUGUAUGAAUGUGAGCCUGCAUGUCUGUAUGUGCACUGUGUGAAUACCUGGGCUCUGUGAAGAAGAAAGGGAAGGUUCUCCUGGACCUAGAGUCGUAUAGUCAUGAACUACCUUGUAGGUUCUGGGAAUAUAAUUCUGGUCUGAUGCAUGAGCAGCAGGUGGUCUUGCCACUGGGUCAUCUUUUUAUAUCUCUUUAUUUUUGUCUGAAAGAUGGAAUGCUCUUCCCUUUACACCCUAAGUGAAACUAGCGUGUUCUUUUGUGUUCCUGCUGUGUGCACAUCUGCAUCACAGGACCCUCCUGAUUAGGAACCUGCUCUGAUCAAACACCUGCUGUGUUCCUUCCUCAUUCCCAACUGGUCUGUGGCAUGAUUCCAGUCCUGUGAAGAACAUGCACAUGUUAUUGCUAGUAGGUAACAUGAACUUCAGGUAUCCUGCCUCCUUCUCAACAAGAUGAUACAGUUGAGGGACAAGAUCAGGACUUCAGGGAUUUUGUCCUUGCUCCUCACCCACCUGUUUCUUACCGCACUCCCAACACUGCCCUCAGUAACU